GCUGCCCGCUUUCUUCUUUCCUAAUACAUGCAAGUCGAGCGACCAGACGAGGAGCUUGCUCCUCUGCCGUUAGCGGCGGACGGGUGAGUAACACGUGGAUAACCUACCUAUAAGACUGGGAUAACUUCGGGAAACCGGAGCUAAUACCGGAUAAUAUAUUGAACCGCUUGGUUCAAUAGUGAAAGACGGUUUUGCUGUCACUUUUAGAUGGAUCCGCGCCGCAUUAGCUAGUUGGUAAGGUAACGGCUUACCAAGGCGACGAUGCGUAGCCGACCUGAGAGGGUGAUCAGCCACACUGGAACUGAGACACGGUCCAGACUCCUACGGGAGGCAGCAGUAGGGAAUCUUCCGCAAUGGGCGAAAGCCUGACGGAGCAACGCCGCGUGAGUGAUGAAGGUCUUCGGAUCGUAAAACUCUGUUAUUAGGGAAGAACAAAUGUGUAAGAAACUAUGCACGUCUUGACGGUACCUAAUCAGAAAGCCACGGCUAACUACGUG
rnacentral:rRNA from 1 species